rnacentral:lncRNA from 1 species
CGCCCCCCAGCAAGCUGGGUACUCAUUUUACCGACCUCGGAAGGAUAGAAGGCUGAGUCAACCUUGAGCCGGCUACCUGGGAUUUGAACCCCAGGUUGUGAGCACAGUUUUGGCUGCAGUACAGCGGUUUAACCACUGCGCCACGAGGCUCUUAGAGGAUUGUGUGCAGACUAGAGGAUUGUGUGCUUUAACAAAAUACACUGGAUGAGAUGAGCCUUUCAGAAGAAGAAAGUUAAGAAGAAAACUGAGCAGAACCUGCAAGUUUUAUGAGAUCCCAUUGUAAUUGCACCAUUGAACACAGUCAAAAGUGACAAAUCUUCAGUAACUCCUGCAGGGCAUUUUCACCCUCUUAAUGGAAGAAGAAGAAGAAGAAGAAGAAGAAGAAGAAGAAGAAGAAGAAGAAGAAGAAGAAGA